rnacentral:rRNA from 1 species
UACGGGGGGGGCAAGCGUUGUUCGGAAUUACUGGGCGUAAAGGGCUCGUAGGUGGCCGACUAAGUCGGACGUGAAAUCCCUCAGCUUAACUGGGGAACUGCGUCCGAUACUGGAUGGCUUGAGUUUGGGAGAGGGAUGCGGAAUUCCAGGUGUAGCGGUGAAAUGCGUAGAUAUCUGGAGGAACACCUGCGGCGAAGGCGGGUUGCUGGGCUGACACUGACGCUGAACUGCGAAAGCUAGGGGAGCGAACGGG